UAGUGACUGAUAAUAGACUGGAGUAACCUAGGGUCCAAUGACUCCAUGCCUGACAGUCCAUGUGUACAUAAUUAUCUCCUCAGAUGUAAGUGGAAGGGAAGCUAUAUACAUUAUAUGUUUAAAUGAAAUUAACAACAGGAUUAGAUAUUGAGGAGAUCCUAUAGCUACAGUAUAUAUAAAUGUAACUGCAACUGUAUUCCAAGAGUCUGAUGGCUGAUAAUGUAUUACAGGAUUUUAUCAUUCAAGCAACAUCUUAGAAGGAUAAGUGCAAAUGUAUGAAGGAAGCCUUGGGUACAAAUAGCAAUUCCAGCAAUUACAUGCAGGAGAGAACUCUUAAACAUUACUAACAGACAUGUAGUCAUUAUAUGGGAGUGGUGUAUUUAAGAAAUCUAAAACACAUGAAAUUAAAUAUUGUGUAUAUUAUUUCAACCACAAGUACUCUCAGAAUAUAAUACAAUUCAAAUUCAAAUUAUUGUGUCAACAUGACAAUUAUAGUCUAAAAAUGGAAAAUGCAUGUUUAUACUGAAUUUUAUAUAAAUAUUUGAAAUAACAAGAAUUUUUAGUCUAUUGUGCAGCCAAACUUUGAGAUCUUCUAAUGGUAUAUGCCUGUUGUUUGUCAACAUUUGUUUUCGUUUUGCCUUAACCUUAUUAAGAUUGGUGUUGAAAUGAAAAAAACUGAAAUACAUAUAUGAAAUAAGAAGGAAAUGGUUGUAAAUAACAGCAAGACUUUCAAUAUGGUAUAUGUCAUGAUCUACUUAAUUAACCAGAGUCUAUACCAAUCAAAGAGCUUCCAUCAACACCAAAUUCUUUAAAUAUUUUUUUUUAUUAGGAUGAGACUUUAGACAACCACUGAAAAGGUUCCUGGCUUGAAACAGGCACAUGAAUAUGUGGCAGGGUGAACUACUUUUUUUCCUAAAAACUUUCAAAAGAAAAAUUGGCAUCUUUUGCAAGUGAGACAAUUUCCACAAUGUGAUUGCAUUGUCU